UACGGAGGGGAGCAAGCGUUACUCGGGAAUUAUUUGGGGCGUAAAGGGCGCGUAGGCGAUUUUUGAAAAGUCUUGUGUGAAAGCCCCGAGCUUAACUCGGGAAGUGCACAAGAAACUGUUGAAUUUGAGUUCCGGAGAGGAAGGCAGAAUUCCCGGUGUAGCGGUGAAAUGCGUAGAGAUCGGGGAGGAACACCGGUGGCGAAAGCGGCGUGCUGGACCUUUUUCUGACGCUGAGGCACGAAAGCUAGGGGGAGCAAACGGGG
rnacentral:rRNA from 1 species